UAUUGUCCUAGAUUCUAGGCAUCCUUUUUAUGUUGCAAAUUUAUCUUUUUUAGCUUAUCUUUAAAGCCUUAAAGUCAGGAUGCGCUUUGCUCAUAUUCACUGUUCAAUAAAUGCACAUUGCUCGUUGAUGAAAAAGAACAGAGAUUUAGCAGUAACCAGCAAGCAGAAGAACUGACACAUCAUCACCAGGAACUUUCUGGCUCCCUGGAUUAAUAUGCAGUAGGUACAAUUCCAUAACAGAUUAAUUGCUACCAAUCAUGUAGAAGUUAAAAUACUCUCAGAAUUUAGAAGCUAUACUUGAAUCAUAAUGAAGUUUCUUAAUUUUGUGGCAAGCCUGUAGAUUGAGUGUCUACUAUUAUUUAGCUGGCCUUAUUUAUUUAGUGGUAAUCAUUUCCAGAGACUGCAGAACACUAAAUUGGAAUGGAUACAAUUCUAACCCGGAGUCCAUAUCCUACUAUUCAUUAUAAGUCGCUCAAGAUUAGGUAUGUACCCAAUUAUAGAUCAACCAUGAAAAUAAGUACUAGCCAGUUUUCAGAAUCUCAGAAUAUAACAACUCAGAUUUAAGAUGCUGCUUUUUUCUGUUUUCAUUGUGAUUGGUUUUCAUAGAAAGGCAAAUUUUAGGACUGUUUGCCACAUGCAGAUGCCUCUUUUCCUUUUACACUAGUCAUAAAGAAAAAAUGGAAAACGACUUAUCAGAAAGGAGUAGUUUCCUGCAAUUUCCAUUGAUAGCUAGCCACUUAAUUACACGAAGGUACAUCUAGGCAACGAAAUACAUACAGCCAUAAAAAAGGAGUAUAUGUUUCCCUAUAUAUUAAUAUAGAGAUAUUUCCAAAAUAUAUGAAGUGAAAAAGCCAGGUGCAGAUCAGUGUGCGUGAUAUGCUAUAAUCUGUAUAAAUAUAAAUAAAAAGGAAUAUGGGUGGACCUACAUGCAUGUGUAAAGGAUAUGUCAGGAAGAUUUUUCCAGUGACUUUAGAAGAGGUGAUUAAAACAAAAUGAGAGGGAAACUUUUCACCAAACACACUUUGUAUUUUUUAAAUUUUGAACCAUGUGAUGGUAUUAACCAUUAGAAAAUAAACACUUUAAAUUUUCAAAUGGAAACGCCAGAGAAGAAGCAAAAGAAUGAUUUUUUGAGAGUGAUGGAGUUGAUAAAAGUUAUCUAAACACAGUAGACUUUUAUCCAGCCUGUAAACAUAUGAGAAAGAUCUUUGAAGCUCCUCUUUUGGAUAUUGUUAACACUCACGAAUGCCUCAAUGUCAGGCUCAAGAAAUGUCAUUAGAGAUUUCACGAGAGGAAGUGGAGUAAAAUCUCGGGACUCCCUGUGGAAGAACAUGGAAGUAGUCACAUGUAAAGCUGAUGUGUUUGGUCCUGAGGUGUUCAGUCAGCUUGGAGUUUGAGCAUAUAUUCAAGGCUCAAUGCAGAGCUACCCAGAACUCAUCAACUCCCCCUUUCUUAAGACUGCACUUUGAUCCAAGUAUGUUGACUACUGCUAUGUAUCAGGCACUUUUUUGAUAUCUGAAAAUAACACAAAAUAAUACAGCAAACAACAAAUAAAAAUCCAUGUUUUCAGGAAGCUUACAGUGUUGUGGGUGGGAGAGGUAUAACAAUGAUAUGUAAGGAAAAUGUAUAUUAAAGAGUGCUGAGGAUUUAAAAAAAGCAAGGAUAGUGGAUAGGAAAUAUUGAAGAUGGAAUUGCAGUUUUACUAAGAUGGAGAGAAGGGCUUUUUGAGAAGGAAAUAUUUAAUCAAAGUCCUGAAGGAUGUGACAGUAAGCAAGCCAUGGAGAAAUCAAGCUAAAAGCAUUAGUAAUUGCAAAGACCUUGAUAUGAGAAAAUACUGGUAUACUCAACAGUCAGACCAGUAUGGUUGGAGCAGAGUGAGUCUGGGCAAGAGCAACAGAAAAUGAGGUCAGAAAAGUGAAGGGGAGAAAAGGUGAAGAUCAGAUAGGGCUUUGUAGUUUUUUGAAAAGAAUUUGGAUUUACUCUGAGAGAGAUGAACAGCAUUUGGAAGGUUUAGAACAAAGGAUUGAAGUGAUCCAUUUACAUUUUUUAAGGAUUAUGACUCUGAAUGCAAUGUAUAGAAUAGAAUGAAAGAGGUUGAAAGCAGAAGUAAGGAUGCCCCUGAGAAAAUGAAGUUGUCCAGGAUACAGAUGAUGGGUAUAUACUGGAAAGUGGAGAGCAAUAGAAUAGCUGAUGUAUUUUGAAGGUAGAUCCAGUAGAAUGUGUUGACUGUCAGAUGUGGAGAAUAAGAUAAAAUUAAGAGUCCAGAUUGUCAAAUAAGACUCAAGGAGAAUUACAGGUCUUACCCAGUAUCAAAUUUACUAAUAAUUCAUGGGUACAGAUAGUAGCUAAACACAAGGCAAGCAUUCUUCCCUUGGAGAGGUGUGAAACCAUCAGUGCAGAUCUCCAUAAAAUGAUCUUUUCGUGCAUAAGGACAUGCUCUGGUUCAAAUUUAACAUGAAAGAUUUAAAUAAUGUUUAGGAUGCAGUGCUUGCACAGGAGUCACUUCACUUAUGAAGCAUCUUCUUUUUAUAUCUCUUUAAUUACACGUGUGAUUUUUUUCAUGGAGCUUUGCCUUAUAAAUUCAUAAAUUCCAGGUUUGUUUUUGUUUUGUUAUUGUGAUUUUUUUCCACAUAAACAAUCUGGGAUAGUCCAGGAACAUCCUAAUAAAAAUCAUUCCAUAGGUAAAGACUUUCCCACGAGUAAAUAAUACUGUUUGAAUAAUUGUUGGGAUUGUCAUUGACAUGUCUACAAAGGUCAACUGGAUCAUAGCUUUCUUUGACACAUGGAUUAAGGUGACAAGAGAUUGCACACAGAUUGCAAGCCUGCUACUAACCCUUGUUCUCCUAGAGAGUCCCAGGAGUUCUCCUGGACAAGGACAGAGUUGUUAGCUAUGAUGAGGAAGAGAGUGAGAAGAGCAGUCACUAUGGAAUAAAGCUGUAAUAGCUCAAUUUUGCACAUUCUCACUUGAAGAUGUGAAUUAGGCAUUUAGAUAGAAAUGUCAGUUAGUCAAUUAACUACAUGAAUGUGGAAUUCAGGGAGAAAUGUAGAGUAUAGAUACAAAUUUGGGAAUCCUUGGCGGGUAUACAGUAAAGUCAUAAGAUGUAAUCAUCUGAGGAAUGAGAAUGGAUAGAAAAGCAAAACUUAAAAUAGGAACAUUAGAAUCACUAAAAGAGAGAUGGAAAAAUAUUGUUGAGAGCCUUGUGAUGAGCAACAUUAUCAAAUCUGUAUUUUUUUUAAAAAGUCAAUUCAGGAGUUCCCGUUGUGGCGCAGUGGUUAACGAAUCCAACUAGGAACCAUGAGGUUGCGGGUUCAGUCCCUGCCCUUGCUCAGUGGGUUAACGAUCCGGCGUUGCCGUGAGCUGUGGUGUAGGUUGCAGACGUGGCUCGGAUCCCGCGUUGCUGUGGCUCUGGUGUAGGCCAGUGGCUACAGCUCGGAUUCGACCCCUAGCCUGGGAACCUCCAUAUGCCGCGG
rnacentral:lncRNA from 1 species